AGUGAACGCUGGCGGCAGGCCUAACACAUGCAAGUCGAGCGAGCGGCGGACGGGUGAGUAAUACCUCGGAAUCUGCUCGGUGGCGGGGGAUAACUGCUGGAAACUGACGCUAAUACCGCAUACCAUCAAAUGAGCCCAGAUCGGAUUAGCUAGUUGGUGGGGUAAUGGCCCACCAAGGCGACGAUCCCUAGCUGGUCUGAGAGGAUGACCAGCCACACUGGAACUGAGACACGGUCCAGACUCCUACGGGAGGAAGCAGUGGGGAAUAUUGGACAAGGGGCGCAAGCCUGAUGCAGCCAUGCCGCGUGUGUGAAGAAGGCCUUCGGGUUGUAAAGCACUUUCAGCGAGGAGGCGUUACUCACAGAAGAAGCACCGGCUAACUUCGUGCCAGCAGCCGCGGUAAUAC
rnacentral:rRNA from 1 species